rnacentral:piRNA from 1 species
GUAGAAUUAACGAGAAACGGCAG